GACGAACGCUGGCGGCGUGCUUAACACAUGCAAGUCGAACGGAAAGGCCCUGCUUUUGUGGGGUGCUCGAGUGGCGAACGGGUGAGUAACACGUGAGUAACCUGCCCUUGACUUUGGGAUAACUUCAGGAAACUGGGGCUAAUACCGGAUAGGAGCUCCUGCUGCAUGGUGGGGGUUGGAAAGUUUCGGCGGUUGGGGAUGGACUCGCGGCUUAUCAGCUUGUUGGUGGGGUAGUGGCUUACCAAGGCUUUGACGGGUAGCCGGCCUGAGAGGGUGACCGGCCACAUUGGGACUGAGAUACGGCCCAGACUCCUACGGGAGGCAGCAGUGGGGAAUAUUGCACAAUGGGCGGAAGCCUGAUGCAGCAACGCCGCGUGCGGGAUGACGGCCUUCGGGUUGUAAACCGCUUUCGCCUGUGACGAAGCGUGAGUGACGGUAAUGGGUAAAGAAGCACCGGCUAACUACGUGCCAGCAGCCGCGGUGAUACGUAGGGUGCGAGCGUUGUCCGGAUUUAUUGGGCGUAAAGGGCUCGUAGGUGGUUGAUCGCGUCGGAAGUGUAAUCUUGGGGCUUAACCCUGAGCGUGCUUUCGAUACGGGUUGACUUGAGGAAGGUAGGGGAGAAUGGAAUUCCUGGUGGAGCGGUGGAAUGCGCAGAUAUCAGGAGGAACACCAGUGGCGAAGGCGGUUCUCUGGGCCUUUCCUGACGCUGAGGAGCGAAAGCGUGGGGAGCGAACAGGCUUAGAUACCCUGGUAGUCCACGCUGUAAACGGUGGGUACUAGGUGUGGGGUCCAUUCCACGGGUUCCGUGCCGUAGCUAACGCUUUAAGUACCCCGCCUGGGGAGUACGGCCGCAAGGCUAAAACUCAAAGGAAUUGACGGGGCCCCGCACAAGCGGCGGAGCAUGCGGAUUAAUUCGAUGCAACGCGUAGAACCUUACCUGGGUUUGACAUGGAUCGGGAGCGCUCAGAGAUGGGUGUGCCUCUUUUAGGGUCGGUUCACAGGUGGUGCAUGGCUGUCGUCAGCUCGUGUCGUGAGAUGUUGGGUUAAGUCCCGCAACGAGCGCAACCCUUGUUCACUGUUGCCAGCACGUUAUGGUGGGGACUCAGUGGAGACCGCCGGGGUCAACUCGGAGGAAGGUGGGGAUGACGUCAAGUCAUCAUGCCCCUUAUGUCCAGGGCUUCACGCAUGCUACAAUGGCUGGUACAGAGAGUGGCGAGCCUGUGAGGGUGAGCGAAUCUCGGAAAGCCGGUCUCAGUUCGGAUUGGGGUCUGCAACUCGACCUCAUGAAGUCGGAGUCGCUAGUAAUCGCAGAUCAGCAACGCUGCGGUGAAUACGUUCCCGGGGCU
rnacentral:rRNA from 1 species